rnacentral:lncRNA from 1 species
CCGGAGGGAGCGCCAGAGUAGAUGCCUAGAUCCGCAGGGCCUUUUCUUUGACCCUUUUCCCAACCUUUCUUUAAAAAAAAAAAAAAAAUAGCUUCUACGCUCCUUUGGCCUGUGGUCUUUCCCUUCCCUGAUGGGCUUCCGGUGUCUUCCCUUCUCCACUGAUCGUAUCUUUCUGUUUCCAAAUCACAUCUGCCUGUCUGCCUUGACGAAGCUGUGUCAGAGGCGGGAAAUCUCCUCUUGGUUGGUGAGUACACCUCAAGUCUUCUCCCUGCACAAGUCCCAUCAAUUCCCCAAGCCUCUAGAGCUACGUCAAAGACAGCGACAGGGACACCCUCGCUCCCAGCAUGCUCUGGGGAAGGUUUGGUGGACCACAGGACAGAAAGCAAGGAGCCAGGAUUCCCGCUGAGGGGAGGACAAACCCCAGAGUUUGAAGAAAGUUACGGGACCCUGCCAACUAAAAGUACAUUCCAAAGCUUGGGAUGACCCUGAGCCACUCAUCCAUCCUGGUCAUAGGCCCGAUGGUUCCCCAAAGAUCCAGCCAAGCCAGUGGUGGCACAGAAAACACCCAUCAGGUUGGAGCUGGUUGCCGGGAAAACCUACAGGUGGUGUGUAUGUGGCCGAAGUAAGAAUCAGCCCUUCUGCGAUGGCUCCCACUUCUUCCAGCGCACUGGCCUUUCCCCACUCAAGUUCAAGGCCGAAGAGACACGCACAGUGGCCCUCUGUACCUGCAAGGCCACUCGGCGGCCCCCUUACUGUGAUGGUACCCACAAGAGUGAGCAGGUACAGAAAGCGGAAGUAGGCUCCCCGCUCUGAGGGGUACCGAGACUGCGAGCCUCUUCCAGGCCUCCCUUCCUUGAAGGCAGUGGUGCCACCCACAGAAAGUAACAUCCAAGGACUACAUCUGCUUGUGAGCAGUGGUUCCCUGAGAAACUUGUGCUCUCCUCUUGGGCAGCGGAGAGCAGACCCUGGUAAAGCUGUCAUUAAAUGCUGAGACCCACCCUCCAA